CCUUAUUGACGACAUCUAUAAUUUGGAUAUUUGUGUCUUUGAUAUCGAGUAGUUUUGUGAUAAAAUGUAAUUGU
rnacentral:tRNA from 1 species